rnacentral:rRNA from 1 species
UACGUAGGGGGCUAGCGUUGUCCGGAAUCAUUGGGCGUAAAGCGCGCGUAGGCGGCCAGAUAAGUCCGGUGUGAAAGUCACAGGCUCAACCUGUGAAUGCCGCUGGAAACUGUCUGGCUAGAGUCCGGGGAGGGGCGAGUGGAAUUCCUGGUGUAGCGGUGAAAUGCGCAGAUAUCAGGAGGAACACCAUGGCGAAGGCAGCUCGCUAGAACGGUACUGACGCUGAGGCGCGAAAGCGUGGGGAGCGAACAGG